CCUACGGGAGGCAGCAGUGAGGAAUAUUGGUCAAUGGACGCGAGUCUGAACCAGCCAAGUAGCGUGAAGGAUGACUGCCCUAUGGGUUGUAAACUUCUUUUAUAAAGGAAUAAAACGAGGCACGUGUGCCUUUUUGCAUGUACUUUAUGAAUAAGGAUCGGCUAACUCCGUGCCAGCAGCCGCGGUAAUACGGAGGAUCCGAGCGUUAUCCGGAUUUCUUGGGUUUAAAGGGAGCGUAGAUGGGUUGUUAAGUCAGUUGUGAAAGUUUGCGGCUCAACCGUAAAAUUGCAAUUGAUACUGGCAGUCUUGAGGACAGUUGAGGUAGGCGGAAUUCGUGGUGUAGCGGUGAAAUGCUUAGAUAUCACGAAGAACCCCGAUUGCGAAGGCAGCUUACUAAACUGUGACUGACAUUGAUGCUCGAAAGUGUGGGUAUCAAACAGGAGUAGAUACCCUAGUAGUC
rnacentral:rRNA from 1 species